UUCGUUGAUCACGUUCAGUGUACUCAUUCUCUAUUGAGCACCUACGUACUUGUCUUGAUGUCACACACACCAUUGACUCGAGACUAAUCACUCUCCCUGAGAGAAGACAUAGUACGUACCGAUCUUUACGGACUGUAAAUGCCCAAUUGACAAUCCUAUGAUCAGGAACAUUUAGGAUGUGUCUACGAAAGAAUGGUCUCAU
rnacentral:lncRNA from 1 species